rnacentral:rRNA from 1 species
UACGUAGGUGGCAAGCGUUGUUCGGAAUUAUUGGGCGUAAAGGGCGCGUAGGCGGCCACUGCAAGUCAGUUGUGAAAUCUCCGGGCUUAACCCGGAAAGGUCAGCUGAUACUGCAGGGCUAGAGUGCAGAAGGGGCAACUGGAAUUCUCGGUGUAGCGGUGAAAUGCGUAGAUAUCGAGAGGAACACCUGCGGCGAAGGCGGGUUGCUGGGCUGACACUGACGCUGACAGCGCGAAAGCUAGGGGAGCGAACGGG